CAAUUGCUGGCCCAAAGGACGGGUGAUUGCUACCAAGGUUUCACCAGAUGGGCAAGUCAGGUGGGCCACACUGCAAACGUCUAACGGAAUAUAUGAGCGACCAACAGUUAAGCUUGCGGUACUCGACGUUGACGUAGGAAGGAAUGCAUCUCAUGCGGAUCUUCGCUGCAUUGAAGGGGGGAGUGUUAGUUGCGCAACGUCGAUCACCGCGCCGUGCACACCCCUGCUUCGAGACGAUCGCGAACGCCAGCCCUACCCAACGGUUGACAGGAGGAUCGACUACCAUAAGGUCAGCCCUACCCAACCACUGACAAGAGGAUCGACUAUCAAAAGGUCACACCGGUGUGACGAAACUUCAUAUAUAAAAAAUUCAUUGCGCGAGGCGAAUCCUUAAAAUUUAUUAUUCUAACUUAAACCUAAAAAUUUAUUACUACAUUCCGCUGUACAACUAUCUCUACAUUUACUCGGACCUACGGUAAAGUUAAAAGGCUUUAGGAAAACGUAACCUAAAUUUAUUAAUUAAAACAUCAGGACAGGUUUCUACGAAUAAGCACUUUAUUUCGCU